rnacentral:lncRNA from 1 species
GUUUGCCCUGUUAAUUACCCUACAUCUGGCUUAGCCCAUCUGCCAAAGUGGUUAUACUGGACUGUAGUUGCUGUUCUUACUAUAGGUUCUUGGAGCCACAAGUGAGAGUUGGGUCACAGGUGAAUGCCAGUGAUGGAUGAGCAGCCCUAAAAAUGGUAUGGCAAGUUUCAGACCACAUCUAGGGUGUAAAAUGACUUUGUGGAUCUUCAAGAAUUUCCCAGUUGGCACUUGA